AAUCCUUUUGGGGUCUGCAGAACCCGUCGGGGUCCGUGGAAUCUUUUGGGGUCAAUAAAACCUUGGGGGCUGUGGGAACUUUUGGGGUCCCUAAAACCCUUCAGGGGCCAUAAAAUCCUUUUGGGGUCGAUAGAAACUGAGGGUCUCUGGAGCCUUUUGGGGGUCUGUGGAGCCUUUUGGGGUCUGGGGGACUUUGGGGUCUGUGGGACACUUUGGGGUCUGUGGGAUCUUUGGGGUCUGUGGAGCCUUUUGGGGUCUCUGGGACCUUUGGGGUCUCUGGGACACUUUGGGGUCUGUGGGAUCUUUUGGGGUCUCUGGGAUCCUUUGGGGUCUGUGGGAUCUUUGGGAUCCUUUGGGGUCCUGGAGCCCUUUGGGGUCUGUGGAGCCUUUUGGGUCUGUGGGACACUUUGGGGUCUGUGGGAUCUUUGGGGUCUGUGGGACACUUUGGGGUCUGUGGGAUCUUUUGGGGUCUCUGGGAUCCUUUGGGGUCUGUGGGACACUUUGGGGUCUCUGGGAUCCUUUGGGGUCUCUGGGAUCUUUGGGGUCUCUGGGAUCUUUUGGGGUCAGUGGAAUCUUUUGGGGUCUCUGGGAUCUUUGGGAUCCUUUGGGGUCCUGGAGCCCUUUGGGGUCUCUGGGACACUUUGGGGUCUCUGGGACACUUUGGGGUCUCUGGGAUC
rnacentral:lncRNA from 1 species